GCCAUUUUGUAAACUAAAAAUUUCUUUUCUGCAAAACAACAAUUCGCUUCUACUUACUUAGGUUCGGCAAUUCUUUAUCAGUUUGUCAUUUUUACCCUAAAAAAAGCACAAAUGUCAUUAAUUGCUGUUUUUAUGUGCGGAACGAAAGUUUUUACAACAAAUUUGUCUAUUUCCAUGUAAGAAUUUUGGAAAAAGUCUCCGAAAAACUAUAAAUCUGUGUUCUUUCUAGAGAUUUGAUAUGUGGAAAAUCAAAUAAUUUAAAUAAAUGUCGUGAAACAAAAGCAUUUUGAUGAUAAAAAAGAAAUCUAAGGUCGGUCUCGAUACAACAAAGAGAGUUGUGAUAGAAAGCGUAAUUUACAAAUUACAUUCAAGGCUCCGUUCACGCCGUAAAAAUAUUUGUACAUGUGCGUCCUGUACUUACAGAUAAGCUGUAAAUAUUUAUAAUACGUUUAGUAUGGAGGACGGUCUGACAAAUGAACAAAUAGAUAAGGUUUUGCAAUUGCAAGAUCUUACGGGUAUUGAAGACAUUAACGUAUGCCGGGAUGUAUUGAUAAGACAUCAAUGGGAUUUAGAGGUUGCCUUCCAAGAACAAAUGAACAUACGUGAAGGACGUCCAAGCAUGUUCGCUGGCUCAAGAGAUGUGCGUGCUCCUGUUGUCAUCAACGAUCGUUUUCUGCAGCAAGUUUUUUCUGCUACAAUGCCGGGAGGGCGCACAGCGCGAAGUGUUAAUGGAGCGCCUGUGCCGCGCACUUUUACAGGCAUUCUCGGUUACAUUAUAAAUGUGGUAUUUCAAUAUUGCUAUUCCACCAUAUCCAGCAUUCUCAACUUAUUUAUAGGAGGAAACGAGGAGCGCAUUGUGACAGACCCUUUAGGAGACGUUACAACUUUUAUACGUUCUUAUAGUGAACGCUAUCCCCAACAUCCUGUCUUCUAUCAAGGCACUUAUGCCCAGGCUUUAAAUGAUGCUAAACAAGAGCUCUGCUUUUUGUUGGUAUAUUUGCAUAGCGAUGCCACUAAAAACCUUGAUGUAGAUUCAUUUUGCCGCCAAACCCUAGCCGAUUCGAGUGUUAUUGAAUUCAUUAACCGCAAUACACUCUUCUGGGCAUGUGAUGUGUCUUCGCCUGAGGGUUAUCGCGUCUCUCACUCGAUAAACGCCCGCACAUAUCCCGUCUUGGUUUUAAUAGCAUUGAGAGCUAAUCGCAUGGUAAUUAUGGGACGUUUUGAGGGCGACUGUACUGCCGAAGAAUUGGUGAGACGUUUACAAACUGUGAUUAAUGCUAAUGAUGUUUGGCUCAGCCAGGCUAGAGUCGAUCGUUUAGAGCGAAAUUUUACUCAAACAUUACGUAGACAACAAGAUGAAGCUUACCGACAGAGUCUUAGAGCAGACGAAGAAAAGGAAAGACUUCGUCAAAUGGAACGUGAAAGGGAAAGAGCAGUAGAAGAAACCUUAAAAAGAGAAAAGGAAGAGGCAGAAAAACGUAAAGAGGAAAUUGCCCAAUUGAAAUUGGACUUAACUGAAAGGGUACCGACAGAACCUCCAGUCGAUGCUACUAAUGUCAUUAGCGUAGUAUUUAAACUGCCCAAUGGUGCUCGUAUUGAACGUAGAUUCCUUCAUACUAACUCUUUGGAAGAUGUUUCUAAUUACCUAUUUUGCCAUCCUGCUACACCAGAUGAAUUUGAAAUUACAACGAAUUUUCCAAAACGUACGAUCUACUCGAAAACAAAUGAUAAUGGCACUAGCGUUAAUGGUCGUAAAACUUUAGCAGAUGUUGGGUUGAAACAUCGUGAAGUCCUUUUUGUUAACGAUUUGGAUGCGUAAUAUAUGGCAGCCUUCGACUUCGAAAUUGCAUUAAAGGUACCAGUCUGAUUGCUUCCGACGAUGGUUUACUAAAAAAUAUUUGGGAAUUAUGCGUUUCUUAUUUGAAGCAUGCUGUUAAUUUUAGAGAACAGUCUAUAAAUAAUGCGCUCAGUUUUAAUAUGGUAUUGAAAUAUAAAAAACUUCAAGGGACAAAGUGAAACAAAAGAAGGAUAGUUAUUCAAUUAGCGAACAAGAUUUAGACUAUUCAUCACAACGCGACUUAGAAAUGGUUAACUUUUUUUCAAAUAACACUUUUCAAGAACAAAACAAGGUGAAUAAAGCCAUGUUUGAUCAAACAAUGUCUUCCAAAUUUUGGCAACAACUGGAUUACUUGAAUAUUCUAUUCGAUAAAAAAGCAGCAGCCGACGAAAAUCAAAUUACCCAAAACUGUCAAGUAGAACUAAUGCAACACAAGAACGAAACGAUUUCCGCAAGUUCCAAUGACGAAGCAGAAGAUGUCACUGCUAUACCAAUGCCAACGAAAGUGGAUAUUUUCUCGUGUAAAGAAAAAAGUUUCAUUGAAGAUGAUGUGCUAAAUAGGUCCAACAAUUUGUUGCUGGAUGGAGUAAACCCAAAAACACAAUACUCACAAACGGUAUACACACGUUACCUGCAUGUUGAAAAUGGUCAUUUUCAUGCGUUUUCAACUUUUACCAUUCAUUUACUGGACGAUAAUGAAUCAGAAUCGGAAGAUUUUAAUGUUCGUGAAGGUUAUAUACAUUAUGGUGCUACAGUGAAAUUGGUGUGUUCUGUAACUGGUAUGCGAACAUACGAAGCCUUCGCUGGUCUGACUAAAUUAUGCAAAGUCAUGCACAAGGGCAAGAUAAGCAGCGCUCAAUGGCAAGGACAGAAAGCGGUGCUGGCGGAAGUGAAAACUUGUUUAAUAGUUCACUUCGAGACGGCUGAGGUGACUAAACCCACCUUGGACACCAUCAACAACUUCGUGGAGAUAAUGGAUGGCCUACUGCGUGUACCCUGGCAUAACUAUACACGUCUACACGGUAAGCCAAGACCUCUUGGAAAGAUUUUUCUGCAAGAUGGCGCCAGGCAGGAGAACGAGAACAAGACCGGUGGAAGAUGUAAUGAAGCUGGGCAUCCGCUUAACCAAUCGACAAUUAGAAUUUUGGAGAAGCGGGUCCAGAACUGUUGGCGUUUAUCAGCUGAAUGAAAAGCUGGAUUACAUGACACCAGCCCAGGCCGAAGAUGAGUUUAUGCCAUACGACCUGAAUGGGGAACCAUUUAAAGUAGCUGGCAAGCGGCUAACUAUAAACGAGACUAAAUACUUCAGGCUGCUCACAGGCUAUGGAAUAGCCCAAUACAUCCGUGAGCAGCUAAGAUGCCAAGCAUGCCUAAGCGACUUAACGCUGAGGAAGGAAGAAGCAUGCUCCGAAAUUGAUGGCAAAAUAGUCGCCAAUAUCCCGGAACACAAAAAAAUCCUGGCUAAUGAGGAUCUGGAACCCGAAUUUCCGAGGCGUAAUUUGUUUAUAGUUUUUUCGAAAGCCACGAGCAUCUGCUUGACAAUCAUGAAGUUCCACAUGGUUUAACGCAACAUCGGCAAGCGCACCCAAGCGACGAUUGUGAAGCAGUUUGACUUCUUCAAGAAAACAGGCUCCUGCCCCAAUGGAAGAAGUCACCGCACUAACCACCUAGGCUUCAUCAUACAUUUGCUACUGACUGGCAAAAACUGGGCGCAAGAAAUAGUUGAAAAUGCAUCAUCAUCUUGAAGUCGUGCUUUAGGUCCGCCCGCAAAAUCAAGUCCAGCUAUCCGGUCGACGCCUCAUAUCGAUGAAAAUUCGCUGCAUGCUAAAGAUCAAAGAGCAUGUUUCCUACUGAACCUCCACUCAUCGUUUCAGCAGAAUGGGAUACUUCCGUAGGCCAAUGUUGUCAGCACACCGGCAUAUCAGCCUACUGGGGAGCCAGCCAUUUAAAACAAUUGGCAACGCGCCUAUUACGGUACCACAAGGGUGGUGCGGGAAGUCGUAAAAAUCAGGCUCUGCACAUUCUUGUACUUUACGAUUGUGUGGAAGAAGCCUUCGUGAUGAUGGUCGUUUCGUUGCAAUUGGUACAAUGUUUUCUGGCAAUAGAUACUUAGCUUAAGGAGUAAGCUUCUUAAACAGACGAUUCGUUUCGGGAAAAUAAAACACAUGUGUUAUUACAAAAACCCUUAAAAAUCCUCGCAAGUAAUUAUUAAUUAAUUUAAUUUUAAUUAUUUUGAAACCUAAAAACUGUAAUCUACUCUACAGAAUUUUUGCAAGUUUUUUUUUCAAAAAUAUGCAUUGAUGUCAUGAAAUAUGG